rnacentral:pre_miRNA from 1 species
UGUGUGGAGGUAAGGAACUACGUCGUGUUCUCUCAUUCCGGUAAAUCCUUACCUCUCACUAU